rnacentral:lncRNA from 1 species
AUUGAUUCCCAAAAACACACAUACCCCGCCUAAUUUCUCCCGCGUCCUCACAAUUCCAAUUCCAAACCCAAAACCUAGUCAAACGCUCAAACCCGUCUCUCUCCCUCUCUGUUUUAAGUGAAACAACUUGUACCAACUAUUGCGAAUCAGCCUAACACCACCAGAUCACACAACCAUAUACAACCAUUCGGCUCGUUGACCAACUGAUAAACUACUAUAGCUUAUGCCAUGUCUGACUCAUCGACUUGUGUAUCACUGCUGACUUCCGAUCUACUCUUUGAGAUUAUGAUUCAGGCGCGUCUACUUUAAUCUAAGGGGAUUGCAUGCUUUUAGGACAAGGUAUUAUAUCUUUAUGACAGAGUAAGUUUUGUAUAGCCUUCUUUUUUCGCUUGGUAGUAAGGCACAUCUGGUGAAUCAUUUGCUAGGGUGAGUUUAAUAUGUAGAUCAUCUCCUCAUUGCAAGAAACCAAGGGCAUGCAAUUCGCAGAGUGAAAGUUAGGCUUCAAUUAGCAGUUGCAACAAAGGAUGUUAUCUACAACCUCACUUUUGUCUCCUAAAAUCUUUCCGUUACAUGUUUUUGCUUUGCUAUCCAUUGUAUGUCGAAGCUUAGAACAUAUUGCAAAUUAACUAGGCAUUUUGGUCAUUCCUCCUUACACAGGAACAAAUGAUCAACUACAAACCUCUAGAAGAUGUAAGUGCUUUGGUUAAUCCUUUUAUGAGUGUAAUGAACAAGGAGCAUGGCGACUACCUUCUACUUUAUGGCAAAGGUAUUAUUAAAAAAAGGAUGGUGGUGAGGAAACAUACAUGAUUCUGGGUGUGCUUAUGGAAUUAUUCAAAGCGAGCCUUGAAGUUAAAAAAACAUAGGUUCUUGAAUUGCGAAAAGAAAUUGAGGAGAACCAUUAAAGGAAAAAAAAAAUGAGCUAGAAGCAAUGCAAAAGAGAUUUUAACAUACAACGAACAACUUAGAAGCUACGAUGUGAAGUAUUAUUUGGAAAAGCUACCUAUUCGAGAACUUCCGGAUCUUUGAGAUGAGUAGAAACUUUAUGUUACUUUUAUCAUUGUAAAUGACAACUUCAUUUUGGUUACAUUGUUAUUUUGAGUUUGGACAUGUGUUAAAUUGCGAUAUAAUAGAUAUGUUAUUAGUUUGUUGGUAAAAUUGA